rnacentral:lncRNA from 1 species
ACUUAAAUUCGCUCCCUUUUACUCCAAAAAUUUAUUUAUUAGAUCUCAUUUUUGCAAUUAACAUUAACACAUCCAAAAAAACUGGCAGAGAUGUAAGGAGAGACCAAGGGACGUUCGAUCCAGGCAUCACUUGGACGUCUGUCAUCCUCAAUUUCGGCGGCGGUACCACGACGGCUCCGUCCAUUAAUGGCGGCGCCUCCACUGAGUGCACCGCUGGUCUGCUCACUAUCCCCAAAUUCCAAUUCGCUACUGAAUCAUGAAUUAUAUAUAGCUAAUUAUGAGUAUAUAUAUAUGUGUAACUCGAACCCUAAUUGAAGAAUUUGAAGAGAUGAAAGGGGGAAAAUGAUUAGAGAGAAGAGUAUGAAGCUAAUUAAAAUUUAAUCGAAGAUUGAGGAUGCGAUAUGUGAGUAGCGUGUAUGUAUUGUUAGCUUUGAGAUGAAAAUUAUAUCAUGAAAUGUACCUUCCAUAUCUGAAACAGCUUGCCAUGAGGAUCUGGAAUUUGCCUAAAGAUGGAGGAGAAGAGUAG